ACUACAGUUUAUUUUAGCUCUCGUAACUUAGCUAACAAUUUAUUUUGGUAAUUUAACACCGUAUAAUUCCCCUCCAAUACAGAGAGUACAUCUACGGCAACAGAGAUAAUUAUAAGCACUUCUUUACUAAAACAAAGUAGUUAAAAGGUAAUCCAAAAAUAUUGACUCUCAAAUAUUUACCAACCAAAAACAACUAUUUCACUAUUUUUAUCACUCACAAAAAAAAUAUUCUUACUAUAAAAAAUUAUUUAACAAAACUUCCUAUCGCUCACCUAUCUACAAAGAGAAUUUUUC
rnacentral:lncRNA from 1 species